GACGAACGCUGGCGGCGUGCCUAAUACAUGCAAGUCGAACGCUUCUUUCCUCCCGAGUGCUUGCACUCAAUUGGAAAGGGGAGUGGCGGACGGGUGAGUAACACGUGGGUAACCUACCCAUCAGAGGGGGAUAACACUUGGAAACAGGUGCUAAUACCGCAUAACAGUUUAUGCCGCAUGGCAUAAGAGUGAAAGGCGCUUUCGGGUGUCGUUGAUGGAUGGACCCGCGGUGCAUUAGCUAGUUGGUGAGGUAACGGCUCACCAAGGCCACGAUGCAUAGCCGACCUGAGAGGGUGAUCGGCCACACUGGGACUGAGACACGGCCCAGACUCCUACGGGAGGCAGCAGUAGGGAAUCUUCGGCAAUGGACGAAAGUCUGACCGAGCAACGCCGCGUGAGUGAAGAAGGUUUUCGGAUCGUAAAACUCUGUUGUUAGAGAAGAACAAGGACGUUAGUAACUGAACGUCCCCUGACGGUAUCUAACCAGAAAGCCACGGCUAACUACGUG
rnacentral:rRNA from 1 species